UCUAGAGAUCUCUUCAUAUUUUAUCAGACAAAACGCCAUAGAGGGUCUGGAGAAAGCUGGUCUUUCAUAUUUUACAUCAUAUCAAGAAAACAAACUGAAUCGUGGAAAGGAGAAAAUUCAAGAAUAGUCCCUGAAUUUCUACGACUUUUGCAAAUUAGUCCAGAUUGACUUGAAGUGAAGUGGGUAGAUCGGAUCAACACAACAGGGCACACUAUUCAGAUCAAUUCUGGUAGUUUUUGUUUUAUGUUUAAAGAUUUAUAUGGCAUGUAUAGAGUUUGAAUGAAUUGAAGUAAAAUGUUAUAAACUAGUUAACAAUAUUUGUAAUAAAACAGUUUUUGGUAAGUAGCAGUAGUUUGACUUCGAAAAAUCACUAAAA